rnacentral:rRNA from 1 species
UUUUCUUAGGGAAGAAUUCUGACGGUACCUAAGGAAUAAGCACCGGCUAACUCCGUGCCAGCAGCCGCGGUAAUACGGAGGGUGCAAGCGUUACUCGGAAUCACUGGGCGUAAAGGGCGCGUAGGCGGAUUAUCAAGUCUCUUGUGAAAUCUAAUGGCUUAACCAUUAAACUGCUUGGGAAACUGAUAGUCUAGAGUGAGGGAGAGGCAGAUGGAAUUGGUGGUGUAGGGGUAAAAUCCGUAGAUAUCACCAAGAAUACCCAUUGCGAAGGCGAUCUGCUGGAACUCAACUGACGCUAAGGCGCGAAAGCGUGGGGAGCAAACAGGAUUAGAUACCCUGGUAGUCCACGCCCUAAACGAUGUACACUAGUUGUUGGGGUGCUAGUCAUCUCAGUAAUGCAGCUAACGCAUUAAGUGUACCGCCUGGGGAGUACGGUCGCAAGAUUAAAACUCAAAGGAAUAGACGGGGACCCGCACAAGCGGUGGAGCAUGUGGUUUAAUUCGAAGAUACGCGAAGAACCUUACCUGGGCUUGAUAUCCUAAGAACCUUAUAGAGAUAUGAGGGUGCUAGCUUGCUAGAACUUAGAGACAGGUGCUGCACGGCUGUCGUCAGCUCGUGUCGUGAGAUGUUGGGUUAAGUCCCGCAACGAGCGCAACCCACGUAUUUAGUUGCUAACGGUUCGGCCGAGCACUCUAAAUAGACUGCCUUCGUAAGGAGGAGGAAGGUGUGGACGACGUCAAGUCAUCAUGGCCCUUAUGCCCAGGGCGACACACGUGCUACAAUGGCAUAUACAAUGAGACGCAAUACCGCGAGGUGGAGCAAAUCUAUAAAAUAUGUCCCAGUUCGGAUUGUUCUCUGCAACUCGAGAGCAUGAAGCCGGAAUCGCUAGUAAUCGUAGAUCAGCCAUGCUACGGUGAAUACGUUCCCGGGUCUUGUACUCACCGCCCGUCACACCAUGGGAGUUGAUUUCACUCGAAGCCGGAAUACUAAACUAGUUACCGUCCACAGUGGAAUCAGCGACUGGGGUGAAGUCGUAACAAGGUAACCGUAGGAGAACCUGCGGUUGGAUCACCUCCUUUCUA